UACAAUUCAGGGCACAUUGUGUGAAAAUGCGCAAAGUAAUAUUAGCGUGAUGGGGAGGGGACAAAACCUAGCGCCAGUAUCCGGAGUACAACAACACGCUUUGUAGCUUGUAGGAUAAAACCAGGACUACUUAAGACUAGGAGUCCAGACUCCAGAAAGAAAGGAGGUCUCUCAGGGAAGGCGGAAGCCAUCGUGAAGACUACUGUAGAGAAACCCGAGGCUUCAGUCUGCUACGUGAUUAAUACAACCAAGACCAUGUAGCUGAUAACCCGUAAAGCCCAAUCUUGCGGGGAAGGACGGAAGGGAAACACGGAGCACUGAACUGGUAACCUGAACUGAUGUCUUUGAAGAUUUAGCUACCAGCAGACAUUUGAACACCAGGUUUCCUUUCCGAUGUAACCCACAUAAUCCUGGAAAGAUUUUGCACAAAG